CUAUGAGAGCUCACUUUUUCUGAUAACUUUUCAGAGUCACUGAAGUUUUUCACCAGGAGGUAUUACUGAGCCAUCCUGCCUGGGUCCUCUGCCCUCCUGUCUGAGCUGGAAGUCAGUGCUCCAUCCUCUGAGCCCUCUGCUAUGAUGAUGCCUGGAUGGUCAUUGGGCCCCCAUUUUGUUUCUCGAAAUCAACAGCAGAACCAAAGAUGUCCUGGGAGAGGGGAAUUCGUGCCCUUAGAAUAGCUGCAUGGAUGAAACAGAGGAUGAAAAAGCUUGAACACAAAUGUCUUGAUAAUAAACACAAAUGUGUUUAUUGCCAUGUAUUAAAGGUAAGAAUGGAAAAAUGA